ACUUCUCAAUAGUUCUUGUGGGAAGAAACCCCCUUGCCUUCUGAGAAACCGAGGCAUCGAGUGAAACUGUCAGAAUGAAUCUCGUCCAUUAUUACUUCAGGCUUUGCUGCUCCUUUCUUUCCUCGCUCCUUUCUGGGAGGUCGUGGUGAUGAGCCCACCAAGAUUAUAGAAACAUUUCUCAUCCCCGGAAGCCACCACUCUGGUCUGUGAAGGAACCUCAUGUAUAGAGGCCACCAUCAUCCCAUCGUCCGAUCAAUCACAGAGCUGAGUGGUGUCCUUGGAACCCCUCAGAGGCUGCCCCGAUGUUCCAUAGAGCCCAGGAGAGCCUUUCUUAGGGAGAGCCACAGAGAUCUACAGAGGCCACCUCGCCUUCUGAGAAACCAAGGAGUUGGGUGAAACUCUCAGAACGAAUCUCAUCACAGAAUGGGGAGGAAUUGUGCAUGUUUCUGUUAUUCCUUACACUUUCCUGCUCCUUUCCUCACUCCCGUUAUGUCACAAAUUACAGGGCAGGAUCUUCCCAUUUUGUAUCUUCUCUUGUUUGUUCAUUUAUUCAAUGUCAGUUCAUAGACCUCUGGUUCUAGACCUGGUGUCUGUCAACACAGGACGUGGUGGACAAAAUUACUGGGCAUGGAUGAAGAUGCCAUAGUCCUGUGCCACGUGGGUUAAUGAAUGAUCAGAGGCAAAGAUAGAAAGGGGCCCUUUAUCCCCACCUGGGUUUACCUCGUUCAGAAACAGCCUGAGUUCCCAGUGCUUCCAGACUCACCAUGAUGAAGUUCCUGGUCCUCAUUGUGGCGUUGGUUAUCACCACAGAGACCUGUACCAUAAUGUAAGCCGACAAUUGAGUAACUUCCGCCGAGAAAUUCCAUCAGAGAUCAAAGAACCAUUGGAGUUGGUGGGUGCUGUAUUAGAAGGUGUCAUCAGGAAAACCUAUCGUGCUGUAAUUGACCUGAACGACAAGCAGGACAUCGAAGAACCACUGAUAGACGGACUGUCGUAUUAUUUUGACUCAGUCCUGGAGAGAUUGGAACCCUAUUUCGAGUCCUUCAGACCUAUCCUCAAUGACGAACUGAGAUACAUAGAUGCGAAAUUGCCGGAGUAUUUUAAACCUCUCGACGAUCAGCUCUUCUUUUAUCUUAAGAAGUUGGAAGACGCUCAACCGACUCUCCAAGCUGCCGCCGACCAAACGCUGACUCGUAUCAGACAAGGGCUGGAGGCUCUCCACAAGAACCUGAAUCCUUACCUUAAACCCCUUCUGGAGGAGAGCAAAAAACACCAAACAGAGUUUUGGGAGUGGGUUCACGCCCCCAUAUUUCCCCCAGACCCGUGAUUAUUUUUUUUCCAUGAGUAAGGAGGAGCGAUGCAUUGUUGAUCUCCAAAGAAAAGCGGUGUGGCCGGGGUGACUGAAAUAAUGUGGUGCAUGGUGAUUUGUAACAAACAAACAAACCCCAACAGCUGAUGUAAUAAAGGAUACGUCCCCAACA
rnacentral:lncRNA from 1 species